CCGGCGCACGGGUGAGUAACACGUAUGGAACCUGCCCUAUGCAGGGGGAUAAGCGGAAGAAAUUCCGUCUAAUACCGCAUAACACCUUUAGGAGACAUCUUCUUGGGGUCAAAGGAGGCGACUCCGGCAUAGGAUGGCCAUGCGUCGCAUUAGCUAGUCGGCGGGGUAACGGCUCACCGAGGCGACGAUGCGUAGGGGUUCUGAGAGGAAGGUCCCCCACACUGGUACUGAGACACGGACCAGACUCCUACGGGAGGCAGCAG
rnacentral:rRNA from 1 species